GUUGUCCCACACUAUAUAAACCAAUAGACGGCGGGUUUUCUUUCUCUCUUCAGUUCAAGCUAAAUGCAAAGGUGGACAAACCGCAUACGAUGAACCCUGCCCAACCCAAUAUGGCUGCAUUACUACUGCAGAAUAGCCCAAUGAUAUCUUCUGAUCAGACCCCAGACGGUGGAUUAACAAAUGGAUAUGCAGAAGGGUUAGUCAAUCGGAAGACCCUAUAAAAUGGAAUUAGAAUGAACCAGUGGAAGUUCUAAUUGGAGGUUUAUAACAUCAGAUGGCUUGAGAAUUAACCACUGAACAUUCUGAAGGUCUCGUACCAACUGAAGUGGUAACGACCCAAUCACCUUGGGAUUGAACGGCUGGUCUUGCAACUGCCUCUGGGUGAAAUGACUGGCAUUGACCAAUUACACUUCAACGUUGAUAUACCCGUAAUCAGGGUUAAGGUCUUGCUAAAAGAUGGCUGAGGCCUGUCAUACACCAUAAGGGCUUUCUCUUGCCAGCAUAGCAUCAAUCACAUUAACUGUUACACUCUAGUGGGAAUUCCACUAAGGGUCUGUAUGUAGCUGCUGCUCAAAUGGAUAAGGCCUACAUCCUUCCAUGCACACUGUUCACGAUUUUCAAUGAAAGUGAGGUUUGUAAGAUGGCUAAAUAAAGAAAUUAUUUGUGUCCUAUAUCCCUUCCCAUGAGCCAGGUUGACAACUACUUAUGUAUUGUGUGGCAGACUUACAGUGAUGGGAAAAUAUUUUGCUCUGUACUUGUAAAGCCCUUUGACUAAAAUAAAGUUGAAUUAACCCUGA